UACGAAGGGGGCUAGCGUUGUUCGGAUUUACUGGGCGUAAAGCGCACGUAGGCGGAUUGUUAAGUCGGGGGUGAAAUCCUGGAGCUCAACUCCAGAAUUGCCUUCGAUACUGGCUUUCUAGAGGCUGGAAGAGGUUAGUGGAAUUCCCAGUGUAGAGGUGAAAUUCGUAGAUAUUGGGAAGAACACCAGUGGCGAAGGCGGCUAACUGGUCCGAUACUGACGCUGAGGCGCGAAAGCGUGGGGAGCAAACAGG
rnacentral:rRNA from 1 species